rnacentral:rRNA from 1 species
CCUUUGUACACACCGCCCGUCGCUACUACCGAUUGAAUGGCUUAGUGAGGUCUCCGGAUCGGCUUUGGGCAACCGGAAACGGUAGCCUAUUGCUGAGAAGCUGAUCAAACUUGGUCAUUUAGAGG